GGGGAUGUAGCUCAGUGGUGGAAGAGCAUUUGAGGCCCUAGGUUCAAUCCCCAGCACCCCCC
rnacentral:tRNA from 1 species